rnacentral:rRNA from 1 species
GGGCCCGCACAAGCGGUGGAGUAUGUGGUUUAAUUCGAUGCAACGCGAAGAACCUUACCAGGGUUUGACAUCCUGCGAAUCUCUUGGAAACAGGAGAGUGCCUUCGGGAACGCAGUGACAGGUGGUGCAUGGCUGUCGUCAGCUCGUGUUGUGAGAUGUUGGGGUUCAAGUCCCAGCAACGAGCGCAACCCACGUCUUUAGUUGCCAGCAGUUCGGCUGGGCACUCUAUGGAAACUGCCCGUGAUAAGCGGGAGGAAGGUGUGGAUGACGUCAAGUCCUCAUGGCCCUUACGGGUUGGGCUACACACGUGCUACAAUGGCAUCUACAGUGGGUUAAUCCCCAAAAUGAUGUCU